rnacentral:rRNA from 1 species
GUGAAUCAUCGAAUCUUUGAACGCACCUUGCGCCCUUUGGUAUUCCGAAGGGCACGCCUGUUUGAGUGUCGUGAAAUUCUCAACCCCGUGCUUUUCUUGUGAAAGCGCGUGGGCUUGGACUUGGAGGUUUUGCUGGUCCUCGCGGAUCGGCUCCUCUCAAAUGCAUUAGCGAGACCCUUGUGGUGCCCGUCCCCGGUGUGAUAAUUGUCUACGCCGUGGGGUACGCCACGAUUGUGGGGGACCUGCUUCCAACCGUCGAAAGACAACUUUAUCGAAACUUGACCUCAAAUCAGGCGGGACUACCCGCUGAACUUAA